UAAAACCCUUAGUAGUGACUCCAUUGCCAUUGGUCUUAGAUCUUCACUCGCAGUAACAAUAUGAACAAUGAUUUUCAUAACGUCAAAAUUAUGACAUCAGCACUUUGUUACCGUGGUGUUCUCUGCUGCAUCCACAGAUAACACAAACACACACAGCAUUUAGAGGAGAAGAGAAAACAGAUGCUUUGCAGAUGAAAUUUCUAAGGCAUAGAUGUUCUCCAGGCGCGGAGGCCAGGCUUCUGCAAGGCGAUUGGAUCAUAGAGGCUUAGAGGACUUGCCGGAAGGAGAGCGGUCUGGUCCGAAAACAGGUCCCUGGGGGCUUGGCCGGGAAGACGCUGUUUCCGUCCCCAUCUCCGCCCUAGGACGCCCUGUGCUUCCUGUCUUUCCUCAGACUGAAGUGACUGGCUGCCGCACCCUCGCUACCACCUGCCCGCAGAGGCUGGCUGGAUGAUCACAGGGAAAGGGCUUAGCCGCUGACGUAGUCUGAACAAACAGAGUCUGCUCUAGGUUGCCAAGAG
rnacentral:lncRNA from 1 species